CUCUGGACACCUGAUGGUUAUUCCCUUCCUCUCUUUUCCUCUUUUCUCUCCUAUGCUCUGGCCAGGCUGAAGUGAUGUUACAGCGGUCUCCUCUAAACUGGCUUGCUCCUCAUCACUGGAAUCUCUGAAACUCACAAAUCUCUUGGUCCGCGUGGAAUGUGAGGGGUGCCGUACAGAUAGCACAGAGAUUCCCCAUCAGUCUGAAACACAGCGAGCAGUAAUGGCCUGUGAAAGGAAAACAUUUUGUCCAACAGGCCACGCAAGAUUUUUUACCGAUAUCCAGGAGCCUGGCUAUGAUGGCACCCCCUGGUAGGCUGCAAAAAAGAUGAGGAGUUAUGGUACCUGGCACACACAAAUCUCUGUAAACGUUUGACGUAGCCACCAGCAAUCACAGUAAACAGAGUGAAGCCAUAAAGAAGACCUUUGUUUGGAGGGAAGACAAAGGAUGUCAAAUGAGGCUGCGAUGUCCCGAAAGAUAUCUGAGGCAUAACCAGAUCCAUUCACAUUCACUGCAACCACUACAGGAGCUGGAGGGCCUGAUGUAGGCGAGAGUUUCUCUGUGGCUGAGGGGAAGUACAGCUGCUUUGCCCUGUCUGGAGCGCUUCCUGUCCAGCUCAAUAAACUGGAAGUACAUACUGGAGAUACAUGAAGAGAAGCAGGAAGAAACCCAAGUAUGCCAGUAGAAGUUUGAGCUCCUGGAGGAGGCCCAGCUCCUCUGACACCUCCUUCAUGAUCUUCUGAGCAGCAUCCUGUAUGGACUGACUGUUGUUCAGAAGCUGGUCAAAGUUGAUGGAGGGUUCUUUGGUAGCAGGGAAGAAGAAACCAGCAAUGGAGUGUCUCAGGGAAACCCCAACUAAAUUACCCCACUCAACUUUGGAGAAGGUGUGUAAGCGUAUUCUGCCACCUGGAGUUUAUAAGUUCCUGUUCGGCCCGCUGUCUCAGUUUCCUGUGGUUCGACAUCUCACAGGCGCUGUAUUUGGUGCUCUGAGUGGAGUGGGCAAGUAACUCUGCAAAACCUAGUGUACACUUCCAUUCAAAUGUUUAGGAUCAGAAUGUAGGUAAUCUUUUUGUUCAGUG